rnacentral:rRNA from 1 species
CCUACGGGAGGCAGCAGUGAGGAAUAUUGGUCAAUGGACGCAAGUCUGAACCAGCCAUGCCGCGUGCAGGAAGACGGUCCUAUGGAUUGUAAACUGCUUUUGUACGGGAAGAAACACUCCUACGUGUAGGAGCCUGACGGUACCGUAAGAAUAAGGAUCGGCUAACUCCGUGCCAGCAGCCGCGGUAAUACGGAGGAUCCAAGCGUUAUCCGGAAUCAUUGGGUUUAAAGGGUCCGUAGGCGGUUUAAUAAGUCAGUGGUGAAAUCUGGUCGCUCAACGAUCAAACUGCCAUUGAUACUGUUAGACUUGAAUUACUGUGAAGUAACUAGAAUAUGUAGUGUAGCGGUGAAAUGCUUAGAUAUUACAUGGAAUACCAAUUGCGAAGGCAGGUUACUAACAGUUGAUUGACGCUGAUGGACGAAAGCGUGGGGAGCGAACAGGAUUAGAUACCCUGGUAGUCCACGCCGUAAACGAUGGAUACUAGUUGUUUGGAUUUAUCUGAGUGACUAAGCGAAAGUGAUAAGUAUCCCACCUGGGGAGUACGAACGCAAGUGUGAAACUCAAAGGAAUUGACGG